CAGAAACUGGAUCAGAUCAGCAAGUUGAAGGAGCAGCAGGCUGCUGGGAAAACUCUGGAGAAGAAUCAGCUAGAGAAACUAAAGAGCGAAGAGGAUAUUCUGAAUGAAUUGGCGGAGUUAGAAUUGUGAUGCAGCAUGCAUGCGCAGUCAGCCACUCACGUAGUGCAGCAGAGUGAAUGCUGGUGGGAUGCAGUGGAAGUGCUUGCAGGGAAACCCUGUGUAAUGUUCAGGCAUGCAGCAGUGUAGUGUGUUGUAUGUUCUCAUCUAGUUACUGCUUAUGUUACUCAAUCAUGUACGGACGUGGCGUACGAUUCUUUAUGCAGACGGGCAUGCAUCAGUGAAAUAGAAGGGGAGAAAAAACAGGAGGGAGGUCAGUUUCAGGAUUCUGACACGGGAUAUUCUUGUUUGAAGUCAAAGUACUAGACGCCACAAUGAGUGUUUUAAAGAUGCAGCAAAAAUAAAUCCGAGUUGUAAAUGAUAUCUGGCAAAUUUCGUACCACUUGAGAUUGUUGACACCGCAUUGCUAAAUGUCAAGAAAAAAAAUAUUGCAAAGACUAGUAGAAUGGUGCCAAAUCCACAAUGGUACCUUUGUAGCAAGUUAAUGGUAUGUUUACCUUGUGUAUGCUUCCAUACGUUAAUAAAUUUAUGUUACAUUUUGAAAUACUAUGAAGAGAAGCAUGUUUCAAAAAUAAAUCGUUUUUUCCACA